rnacentral:rRNA from 1 species
CCUACGGGUGGCAGCAGUAAGGAAUCUUGGUCAAUGGGCGCAGGCCUGAACCAGCCAAGUCGCGUGAGGGAAGACUGCCCUAUGGGUUGUAAACCUCUUUUAUAAGGGAGGAAUAAUGACUAAGUGUAGUCAGCUGCCCGUACCUUAUGAAUAAGCAUCGGCUAACUCCGUGCCAGCAGCCGCGGUAAUACGGAGGAUGCGAGCGUUAUCCGGAUUUAUUGGGUUUAUAGGGUGCGUAGGCGGUAUGUUAAGUUAGUGGUAAAACGUCGGGGCUUCACCUUGAUUGGCAAGUAAAACUGGAGUACUAGAGUACAGACGAGGUAGGCGGAAUAAGGUAAGUAGCGGUGAAAUGCUGAGAUAUA